CACGUAGGAGGCAAACGUUAUCCGGAUUUACUGGGCGUAAAGCGCGUGUAGGUGGUUCUGUAAGUAGGGCGUGAAAGCUCCCGGCUCAACUGGGAGAGGUCGUUCUAAACUGCAGAGCUAGAGGAUGGUAGAGGGAGGUGGAAUUCCAGGUGUAGCGGUGGAAUGCGCAGAUAUCUGGAGGAACACCAGUGGCGAAGGCGGCCUCCUGGACCAUUCCUGACACUCAGACGCGAAAGCUAGGGUAGCAAACGGGAUUAGAUACCCCUGUAGUCCCU
rnacentral:rRNA from 1 species